rnacentral:pre_miRNA from 1 species
GAUGUACUCCCUCUGUCCAAAAUUCUUUCUUAAAUUUAUCUAGAUAUGAAUGUAUUUAGUCACGUUUUAGUAUUUAGAUACAUCAAUUUCUAGACAAACCUAAAACAAGAAUUUCGAAACGAAGGGAAUACUCG